rnacentral:rRNA from 1 species
GAUGAACGCUGGCGGCGUGCCUAAUACAUGCAAGUCGAGCGAACAGACGAGGAGCUUGCUCCUCUGACGUUAGCGGCGGACGGGUGAGUAACACGUGGAUAACCUACCUAUAAGACUGGGAUAACUUCGGGAAACCGGAGCCAAUACCGGAUAAUAUAUUGAACCGCAUGGUUCAAUAGUGAAAGACGGUUUUGCUGUCACUUAUAGAUGGAUCCGCGCCGCAUUAGCUAGUUGGUAAGGUAACGGCUUACCAAGGCGACGAUGCGUAGCCGACCUGAGAGGGUGAUCAGCCACACUGGAACUGAGACACGGUCCAGACUCCUACGGGAGGCAGCAGUAGGGAAUCUUCCGCAAUGGGCGAAAGCCUGACGGAGCAACGCCGCGUGAGUGAUGAAGGUCUUCGGAUCGUAAAACUCUGUUAUUAGGGAAGAACAAAUGUGUAAGUAACUAUGCACGUCUUGACGGUACCUAAUCAGAAAGCCACGGCUAACUACGUG